rnacentral:rRNA from 1 species
CCUACGGGCGGCUGCAGUGGGGAAUUUUGGACAAUGGGGGCAACCCUGAUCCAGCCAUGCCGCGUGCGGGAAGAAGGCCUUCGGGUUGUAAACCGCUUUUGUCAGGGAAGAAAUCUUCCGAGCUAAUACCUUGGGAGGAUGACGGUACCUGAAGAAUAAGCACCGGCUAACUACGUGCCAGCAGCCGCGGUAAUACGUAGGGUGCAAGCGGUAAUCGGAAUGUGUGGGGGCGGUUGUGCAAGACGCGGUUGAAAUCCCCGGGCUUAACCUGGGAACUGCACUUGUUACUGGACGGCUUGAGUACGGCAGAGGGGGAUGGAAUUCCGCGUGUAGCAGUGAAAUGCGUAGAUAUGCGGAGGAACACCGAUGGCGAAGGCAGUCCCCUGGGCCUGUACUGACGCUCAUGCACGAAAGCGUGGGGAGCAAACAGGAUUAGAUACCCGUGUAGUC